rnacentral:rRNA from 1 species
UACAGAGGUGGCAAGCGUUGUUCGGAAUUACUGGGCGUAAAGGGCGCGUAGGCGGUCGUGACAAGUCACUUGUGAAAUCUCCGGGCUUAACUCGGAACGGUCAAGUGAUACUGUCGGACUAGAGUACAGAAGGGGCAACUGGAAUUCUCGGUGUAGCGGUGAAAUGCGUAGAUAUCUGGAGGAACACCGGUGGCGAAGGCGGCAUCCUGGACCGGUAUUGACGCUGAUGCGCGAAAGCCAGGGGAGCAAACGGG